rnacentral:rRNA from 1 species
AACGAACGCUGGCGGCAGGCUUAACACAUGCAAGUCGAACGGGUGCAGCAAUGCAUCAGUGGCAGACGGGUGAGUAACACGUGGGAACCUUCCUAGGGGUACGGAACAACUCAGGGAAACUUGAGCUAAUACCGUAUACGUCCGUGAGGAGAAAGAUUUAUCGCCCUUAGACGGGCCCGCGUCGGAUUAGCUAGUUGGUGGGGUAACGGCCUACCAAGGCGACGAUCCGUAGCUGAUCUUAGAGGAUGAUCAGCCACACUGGGACUGAGACACGGCCCAGACUCCUACGGGAGGCAGCAGUGGGGAAUCUUGGACAAUGGGGGCAACCCUGAUCCAGCCAUGCCGCGUGAGUGAAGAAGGUCUUCGGAUUGUAAAGCUCUUUUGCCAGGGACGAUAAUGACGGUACCUGGAGAAUAAGCCCCGGCAAACUUCGUGCCAGCAGCCGCCGUAAGAC